GAUGAAGAACGCAGCGAAAUGCGAUAAGUAGUGUGAAUUGCAGAAUUCAGUGAAUCAUCGAAUCUUUGAACGCACAUUGCGCCCUUUGGUAUUCCUUAGGGCAUGCCUGUUCGAGCGUCAUUUGAAACCUCAAGCUCAGCUUGGUGUUGGGUGUCUGUCCCCGCCUCACCGCGGGGACUCGCCUCAAAAUCAUUGGCGGCCGGUACGUUGGCUUCGAGCGCAGCAGAAACGCGAACUCGAGGCCCGGCGGAUCGGCGACCAGAAGUCACUUCUUCACAGUUUGACCUCGGAUCAGGUAGGGAUACCCGCUGAACUUAAGCAUAUCAAUAACGGAGGA
rnacentral:misc_RNA from 1 species